UUUUUUUUUUUUUUUUUUUUUUUGUCUGUGGGGAACUGUAUUACGUUAAGAAUAGAGAAAAGUAAAGUUUCUUUUUUUGUUGCCCUUUCUUGCUCAAGUGCUAUUACCACAACUACUGGCACUCCAUGGUCUAUGUGCCACAGAUGCAGCAGCAGCUUCAUGUAGAGAAUUAUCCAGUCUAUACUGAGCCACCUCUGGUAGAUCCAACCGUUCCUCAAUUCUACAGUGAGGUGAGGAGAGAAGAUGGCACACAGGCGGAAGCAUCAGCAAAUGAUACUUUAACGAAUGCUGAUCCUUCAUCUGUCCCUCAUGGAGCAGUCUAUUAUCCAGUAAUGUCAGAUCCCUAUGGGCAGCCACCUUUGCCAGGUUUUGACUCCUGCCUCCCAGUUGUGCCAGAUUAUUCCUGUGUUCCCCCCUGGCAUCCAGUUGGUACAGCAUGUGGUGGUUCUUCUCAAAUUCAUGGUGCUAUAAAUCCUGGGCCAAUUGGCUAUCUUGCUCCAUCUCCCCCAGCUUCUCACUAUGUACCUCAGGGUAUGUAAGAUCCAGCAGUAUGAAGUAUUCUUGCACUGCCAUUUUCUUGCUGUUUUUGUUUUUAGAAAGUUUUUUAUGUUAGUGGUUAAAUGAUUUAGGUGAUUAGUAUUUACUAUUGUAUUUGUCUUUAAAAUUAUUUUAUCUUUUGAUUUAAAAUAGUACUUUAAAAUAAAGGGAUAUUAUUUUGGGCUGUGACUAAGGAAAUUGAGAUGGAUGUACAACUAGCCCCAUAUUGAGCAUACUUCAUUGUAUUCAGCUGUUUUCCUGUCAGCCAUUUGUCAGCUUUAUAUUAGCUGAUGGUACCAAUUGAUAAAAUGAAUAUAAAGUAUUUCAUUGGUUCAGAAAUCACACAUCAUAUUAAACCAUGCAGAAUUGGAAUAACUUCCACUUUUUUCUAGAAAGUAAAACCAAGAGCCUUUGCUUCUGGGUAACUCACUUAAUAUUAAAUUAAAGAGCUCUUCAGGUUUCUUGAGAAUUGUCUGAAGCCAGUUGCAUUCUGUGAUAUCAGUUUUGAAGGCACAUGGUUCUCUGCUUUAGAUUUAUCCCAUACACUAUUGUUUAAUACUGGAUGUAUGUAAGUGUUUUACUGCACUGUAUUGAAUUGGUGUCUUUUGCACAGUUAGCAGUAAAUAAAAAUUAGCAUUUAAAAUUGCCAAAACAAGUGGGAUUUUUUCUUUUUGCGUUUUCAUGUCAGCAAAGAGUACCGGACGUUUGAUUGUUUCAACAUGUUUUUUCUCUGGCAUUUUGGUUGUCAAAGAAUGUGAAUUUUUAGCAUGAACUAGUGGGGAGUAGUUGCAGAGCCACUUGAGAUGUUAUUUAAUCUAGAGUCAUUGAAGCGCAUACUACCAUAUCUACGCCUUUUCUCUGGAAAAUGUUUCUUUUGUGUGUGUGCAUGUUUUUUAAAGCAUCUAUAACCCUCUUAUAGAACUUUAGACUUCUCAUUGUCCUAUACUUUCAAUAGUUAUGGGGCCAAGGGAAAACUCCUUCACCCUCUAAAGGUUCACCGAAAGCUCACAAAAGGCAGGUAAAGAGGAGAAAGGGCAUACAAAUUUUAAUGUGUACACGGGAACCUUCAGAAUGAAGACCCAAAAUACAGGGGAAAUUGUCCAUUUUAUGCUUAGGUUCAACGAAGUAUGGACAGCCAUGUAGAAAUAUAAUUGGACAAAAAGGGUAUGAUCUGCUAAUGGACUUGAGUAAGGGAAACUCAACAAGGCUUAUUCGUGUUCUUGGCCUCUCUGAGCACACAUUCCUUCCUUCUGGGUGUGGGACAGGAUCCUCUUUGGAAUAGGGGGUCUUAUGACAGUCAAACCAGGUAGAUCAGAUAAAUUUUUUUAUGGCCAGUUUUUACACAGAAAGGUGGAGUAAUAUUUUAGGUUUGUGGCUGGCUUUCAGGAAAAAGGGGUUCUGGUUUCUAUGACCCACCUUGGGGAAGAGGGAUUCUAGUUUCUAUGGCUAGCUUUGGGGAAGAAGGAGACUGAGACAGGAGGGCAGGAGAAGGUCAGAGAAAAACUUGCUACUGAGGCCUUCAUUCGGGGUUAUUGUUUUCUGAGUCCAGACAUUGUCACAUCUUAACCGUUUUUGUUUUUAGACUUAAUCUUGUAUCUCUGAAGGCCUGGCUUGUCUUUGGCUUGCUGUGAGAUACAUUUCAUCAUCCUUUUUUGCCUUCUCCCUUUCAUCUAUCUGAAGACCACAAGAUGUCCUGUGUUGAUCAGUUCUUCUCUGAGGGGAAAAUCAUCCUGAAUGCUUUGUUCUGUCUCACCUGACAAACAGCUAUUUAAAAAGUGUUCUUUGGUUGCCACAAAACCUAUUUAUAUCACUUUCUUAAAAGGUUAUUUAUGUUUGUGAAUCAGUCUCUCCUUUCCCCCUGUGGCUACACCCUGGCCAAAAAGAACAAUUUGAGACAUCAGGGCUUGAAGUACUUGAACAGUUGAAGGUACUGGAGUGGAACAUUGCAAAGAAGAUGUAUCUUCAAUGUACUGUUCUCAAGAUGAUUGAUAUUGAUGAGUUCUGAAUAAGCCAAUGUAGUAAAGGGUUCUGCUUCAUAAUAGUACUGAUUGGAUUUGUUUUUGUAUCCUUGAUUUUAAGAAGGCCUUGCACUACAAGUUAGCAUCUGACAACUUAAGGUGGAUGGCAGUGCACUAAUGUUUUAUAACAACCAACUGUGUGUAUUAGUGUUUUAACUUCUCUGCUAACCUCCUGGGUUCUCAGUUUAUGCAGCCUGCAAAUUGUGUUUUGCAUAAAGGUUUAUUUUAGUCAAGCUUAUAACAUGGAAUAGCCCCUUCCCAACAUUUUUUGAAUGUGCAAACAUUUCUGAAGUAUACAUAAUUCACAGAAAGUGAUUGUCCUCUGUCUUCAGCUGUCAGUGGUUCACUAGCUUCUAAGGGGUGUUUUAGAAGAUUGUAGUCUUGAGAAUAUCGGUUUGGAAUUUGGCGGGUGUUGAGACAACCACAUCUGCCUUAGAUUUCCAGUAGAUUUUUUUUUUUAUUUCAAACUUACAUAUGCUGCCUUGCCUUGUGCUCUAUUACCAAUUAAUGAAAUUUAAUCAUGAUUGGCAUUAACGUAACCUGGAAGCAAUGUGUGUACUAGAUUGUGAACUAUCAAUUGAGGUCAGUGUUUAUGGCCUGCUUAAAUCAUACAAGUUCUCUUUGUUUAUGUAUUACAAUCAGUCUUCUCUAAGAAAUAAUCAAGGGAGUGAGUCCUGGCCUUCAUAUUGUUGGGGUAGAGGUGAGGGUAACCUGUACUGCUGCAGAAGUCUUUAGUCUUUCUUGGAGGCAGCUGCCAGGUAAAAAGGAAGUGGUUUUUGUGAUGAAAACCAAAACAAAACCCUAACACUUAAUCACCAUAUAGGAUAAACAUAGUGGUAGACUUCUCCUUUUUACAGAUUACCUCUUAAGUUGCUCUUGUUACAAAAGGUAUCCUGUCUUUUCUCUGCUUUUAACCAAAUUUCAUCCAUUUAGAAUUGUUUAGGGAAGGAAAUAUAAAGGCACUGUAGUUUGUUUGGAACCCUUUACUUACAGCCCCUUCUUGACAUGAAUCUGGUUACGCUAAAGGUAAAUAGCUGGAUAAUUUCUCAUAGCCAGGAAAAAUAAUUAAAUUCAUUUGUAUGCUGUAUAUAUUCUCAAAACUGAU
rnacentral:lncRNA from 1 species